rnacentral:rRNA from 1 species
UACGGAGGGCGCGAGCGUUAUCCGGAAUUACUGGGUUUAAAGGGUGCGUAGGCGGCUUGGUAAGUCAGGCGUGAAAGCCCCGGGCUCAACCUGGGAACCGCGCUUGAGACUGGCACGCUAGAGUUCGGGAGAGGAUGGUGGAAUUCCCAGUGUAGAGGUGAAAUUCGUAGAUAUUGGGAAGAACACCGAUGGCGAAGGCAGCCAUCUGGACCGACACUGACGCUGAGGCGCGAAAGCGUGGGGAGCAAACAGG